rnacentral:tRNA from 1 species
CAGAGUAUGGCUGAGACAGCUAAGCAUCUCCCUUACACCGAGAAAACAUCCAUGCAAGUUGGAUUGCCCUGA